CAGGAGCUUGAGAGCUGCUCAGCUAAGUGCUUCUGGCUCAGAGUCUCAUGAGUCGCACUCAAGACCUCUCCUGGGGCUGCUAUCAUCUGAAGGCUUGACCGGGGCCUCCUGAUGGCUCGCUCACAUGGCUCUGCAUGGCAGGCCUCAGUUUCUCCUCACUGUAGGGCUCUCUGUAGGGCUGUUCUUAUGACCUGACAGCUGGCUUCCUUCAAAGAUGUGAGCCAAGAGAACAAGGAAGAGGCCAUGUGCCACUAUGCACUCAUCUAAUUACAUCCUCCACAUUCUACUCAUUUUAGAGUCCCAGGGCGCUUCCUGACCCAGCACAGCAGACAGCCACCUCCCGUCACUCAGAGACGAGAAGCCUAUGUGCUUUACUUGAUCUACAGCCACAGGAGCCGUGACCCAGGUGGCUACAGAACUGCCGCUCAGUGCGGAAUGGGGCAAAGAGCAAACAGAGCCAUCACACAGCGUGAGGAGCAGAAUGGGGACGUGCUGUGAAAAUGAGUUAUCAGAAUGGGUACCUGUGCCCCACAUGCAGAAGGCCCUCAACCCAGGGCUACAGCUGUAGACAUAGAGAGAAAGAGAGAGAGAGAGAGAGGCAGAGACACAGGCAGAGGGAGAAGCAGGCUCCAUGCAGGGAGCCCGACGCGGGACUCCAUCCCGGGACUCCAGGAUCAUGCCCUGGGCCAAAGGUAGGCACUGAGCCACUGAGCCACCCAGGGAUCCCCAUAUUUGUCCAGUCUACCGAGGA